ensembl:lncRNA
CCUUACAUCUGUUUUCCUUCCUUCUCCUUGUCUCUAACUUUUAUGCUUUGGGAUUGUACCUCCCAUUAAGACGCUACCAUGAAACCUUUGUUUCUUGCUCUGUUCUCUAGGGAAUCCAGACAAAGACAAUUUCCCAGAAUCUUCUACUUCAGAAGGGUAAAGAGCAGUGCUGGGGAUUUAUGUAUUUAAUAAGCACGCCAAGUGAGUCUAUGAUCAGGAAACUAUGGCUGGCACUACCUUAAAGUAUCCUCAGGCCUCAGAUCUCGCAUCAACAGAAAAUGAGAUGCCGAAACUGUGCAGAAUUCAGAAGGGAAUCCAUCCCACAAACCCUUAAGAUGUGGCCAUGGAAGACAACAGACAAGGACGAUUAGCACAGAGAACAGCCCAGAGGCAGCGAGAAGCACUGACCAAAGGACACUGUCUGCUGCUGAAGCAAAGAGCACUUGCUGCUCUUGUCUCACAGAGAGGUAAUGUGUACUGUGAACCGAUGCUGAGAUGGAGUUUGGGGUGCAAGGCACUUAUUACGGAUAAGAGGAGACAGAAGCCAGACUGGGCUGAGGAAGAAGUCGAACUGUGAUGCAGGCCCAGUGAAGCUUCAACCAGCCUGCCAGGGAGUUUUUGAGUUUGAAGUUCAGUUGCAGCUCUGCUGGCUUCAACUGGGAUCAACUGGACUGGGAUCCAGGCCAUGAGUAGGAUUCAAGUCUGUUCCACAGUUCUCCUCAUUCUGGGACCAGUGGCUACUGUGACAUGCUCUUCUCAUGACAGAGGACAGGAUUACAAAAGACCAAUCCAAACCACACCCACAUUUAAAACCUCUGCUCAUGUCACAUCCACUAACAUUCCAUUGGCCAAUAUAAGUCUCACAGCCGAGUCCAAAGUCAAUGAGGAGGGGUAUAACUUCCCAGGCAUUUCUUCGUGAGGUGGAGUGGUAGGCCCGAGGCAAUCCUCUGAAGAAGGGAGCAGCUGUAAUCUGAGAUCAACAAAAUCUCACAGCAGCUGGGGGUCAGGUGCAAGGACGAGGUUAAGGGAAUCUGGGAGGGGCACCAACAGCAUCUAAUAAAUGGUUCAUGAAAGAUCAUCACAAAAUAAAAUAACCGUAUUUUCUUUACAUACCCAUAGCAAAUACUGCUGUUUCUUUCCUAAUAUCCAUUCUCCCCUGCUUCCUUUACAAAAAUGCAAAACCGAGAUAAUUUAGCUCAUCUAGAAUAAAAAUUACAUUUCUCAGACUCCCUUCUAACUAGGCAUGCCCAUAUAACUACGUUCUGGACACCAGAUGAAGGGAGACGGUUAUGUGGAAGCUUACAGGAAGCUGCCUUAAGAGACAGCUGGUGUCACCCUCUGCUCCUUCUUCUUUGUCCUUUUCUCCAUUCUGCCAGCUUGAAUACAUCUGUGAUGAAUGGAUCAGGAACAGAAAUCUAGCACUGUGAGGUGGCCUAGGGAAUGAAGGCCAGCAGAACCCCAAGUUAGAAAGGACCCUGGUUUGUGAGAUCACUGUGACCCACAGCCACCACACUUUCAACAUAGGGAGGUAUAAUCUUCUACCCAGGUCAAACUACUGUUAAUUAACUUUCACAGGGUGAAACUUAUUCACAGGUUAGUGUAAUCCUAAUCAAUCCAACAUCCAAGCCAGAUUGAAAAUGAAUUUGAGAACCUGCUGCCUACAUUCCACCAAAGCACCCUCCAGCAAGAUGGUGCCCAUUUAUACUCCAUUCAGCAGACAUUGGAGUGUUCAUUUCUCCAAACUGGUUAUUAUUGUUUUUGUGAUGGGUUAAUCUAAAAAGCAAAAAGCAAUCUUGUUGUUUCAAUUUUCCUUUUCCACAUUUCUGACCAGGUUGAACACAUUUUCAUCUUUUUUGGGGGCCAUUUGUAUUUCUUUCUUUGUGAAUUGCCUGUUUGUAUCAUUUGUCCAUUUUCUGUGGGGAUGUUUAUAUUUUUAUAGUGACUUAGAGGUGCUUAUUUAUUUGAAAUAUAUAUAUACACUGAUAAAAAUAAAGGCUAAUGUAAUAAAUACCUGGUACCAAUCACCCAAAUGAACAAAUGUUGAUAUUUUGUCAUAUUUGAAUCAAACCUUCUUUUAAAGAAAUAAAACAUUGUAGAUGAAAAUGUAUUCAUCAAGUUCACCAUCCCCGGUCUCAGAAACAACUAUCAUGUUUUUAAGCUUUUGCUGCAAUGUCCAUAGUACCAUUUCAGAUGUGUUUAUUUUAAUUUACAUUAAUGGUGUUGUGAUGGUUAAUUUGAUGUGUCAACUUCACUGGGUCACAGGGUGCCCAGAUAUUUGGUUAAAUAUUUCUAGGUGUGUCUAAAUAUUUCUAGGUGGAUGAGAUCAGCAUUCGAAUCGGUAGACUAAGUAAAGCAAAUUUCCCCCCCAAAUGUGGUUGGGCAUCAUCUAAUCUGUGGGCCUGAAUAGAACAAAAAGGUGGAGGAAGAGAGAAUUCACUCUCUGCCUGACUGCCAUGAGCUAGGACAUAAGUCUUCUCCUGCUCUUGAACUGGAAUUUUUAUACCAUCAGCACUCCUGGUUCUCAGGCCUUCUGACUCAGCCUGGAACUAUACAACUCUCUUUCCUGGUCUCCAGUUUGCAGAUAGCAAAUUGUUGGACCUCUCUGCCUACAUAAUUGUGUGAGCAACUUAAUUCCUUAUAAUUCAUAUAUUUAUAUAACUGGUAUGGUUUCUCUGGAGAAGCCUGAUUAAUACAGGUGUCAUACUGCAAAUUUUUUUUUAGCUCCUUGAACUCUGUGUUUAUGAGAUUUAUCCAUAUUCAUUUAAUUGUUGUAUAAUAUAAUAUUGAAUGAAUAUUUCAAAUUUGAUUCAUAUUUCACAUUUGAUCCCCUAUUGAUAGAUGUUAAAUCCCUUCUCCCAAAUUUUACUAUUACAAACAAUGUGACAUAAAUAUCUUUGGACUUACUUCACGUGUUCCCAUACGAAAGAAUUUCUUUAGAAGUGACAUUGCUGGAUUAUAGGGACAUAGAAGCAUCUUCUACUUUGCUAGAUUUUACUAAAUUGCUGUCCAAAGUGGUUACAUCAAUUUCUAUUCCCAUCAGAAGUGUGUGAGAAUUCCCGUUUUUCCAUAUUCUGGCAACCCUAAAUAAUGUCAAGCUUUUAAAGAUUUGUUUCCAAAUUAAUAGGUAUGAUGGUAUCUCAUUAUUUUAAUUUUAUUUUCUCUAAUAAUGAUGUCAAGCAUAUUUACGUAUGUUUAUUGAGUUUAUUCAUCUUUGAGUUGCCAAUUCUAAUUCUUUGUGCGUUUUUAUAUUGGGUCAUUUGUCAUUUUUAUUGCUUUUUAGGAUUCUUUGAUACAUUCUAGCAGUAAUAGUCAUUGCAAAUAUCUUCUCCCAGUGUGUGGCUUGCCUUUGUAAAAAACAGUUUUAUUGAGAAAUAAUUUACAUACCAUAAAAUUCACCCACUUAAAGCGUACAACUCUUUGGGUUUUAGUUCCAAUCAGAGUUGUGAAACCAUCACGACAAUCUAAUUAUAGAGCACGUUCAUCAUCCACAGAAGAAAUCCUCAGCUUAUUAGCAGUCACUCUGGAUCCCCGUCUCCUCCAAGGCCCUGGCAACUACUAUCUACUUUCUGUCCAUAUAGAGUUGCUUAUUUUGAACUUUUCAUAAAAAUGGAAUCACACAAUAUGUAGUCUUCUGCCACUGGCUCCUUUCACUUGGCACAAUGCUUUCAAGUUCCAUCCAGGUUACUGCAGGGAUGGUUAACUUGGUUAUACUAUGUGUUGCUGUACGUAUGUUUUGAAUUUUCAUUUAGUCAAAUAGGUCAAUCUUUUUUUUUUAGGUUUCUGAUUUUUCUGUCUUAUUUAAAAAAUCUUUCCCUGAGUUAUAUAUUUUCUAAUAAUUUCAAGUUUUUGUUUUUCAUAUUUAAAUUCUCUGCAGCUUAUUUUGUAUAUCACAUCACAUAGAGAUUUAAUUCUUUUCCAUGUGGGUAGUCAAUCAUUCAGCACUACUUAUUGAAUAGUGCCCCAAUUCCCCCACUGUUUUGUAAUGGCUUGUUUAUUAUACAACAAAGUCUCAUAUAUGUUUAGAUCUGUUUACCUCUCCCUGUGCCAUUAUGAUAGCUUUACAGUAAAUCUUAAUGACUAAUACCUUUAUAAUAAAUCCUGCUAUUUGGUAGGGUGAGUUCCCUCUCUUUCUUUUCUACAGACAACUUUGCUGUUAAUGACCCU